UUUCCGUAGGUGAACCUGCGGAAGGAUCAUUAAAGAAUUUGCCCCGUCCUCUCGAGGAUGGGUCCUCUUCUAAACCGUGUAUACAUACCUUUGUUGCUUUGGCGGGCCGCCGUCUCGGCGUUGGCUUCGGCUGACUGUGCCCGCCAGAGAACCCCAACUCUUCUGUUUAGUAUUGUCUGAGUACUAUAUAACAGUUAAAACUUUCAACAACGGAUCUCUUGGUUCUG
rnacentral:misc_RNA from 1 species